CCUACGGGAGGCAGCAGUGGGGAAUAUUGGGCAAUGGGCGCAAGCCUGACCCAGCAACGCCGCGUGAAGGAAGAAGGCUUUCGGGUUGUAAACUUCUUUUAUGAGGGACGAAAGAAAUGACGGUACCUCAUGAAUAAGCCACGGCUAACUACGUGCCAGCAGCCGCGGUAAUACGUAGGUGGCAAGCGUUAUCCGGAUUUACUGGGUGUAAAGGGCGUGUAGGCGGGACUGCAAGUCAGAUGUGAAAAUUAUGGGCUCAACCCAUAACCUGCAUUUGAAACUGUAGUUCUUGAGUGAUGGAGAGGUAGGCGGAAUGCCGUGUGUAGCGGUGAAAUGCGUAGAUAUCAGGAGGAACACCGGCGGCGAAGGCGGCCUGCUGGACCGCGACUGACGUUGAGGCUCGAAAGCGUGGGGAGCGAACAGGAUUAGAUACCCUUGUAGCC
rnacentral:rRNA from 1 species